GUGCAGCAGGCGAGAAUAGUCUACAAUGGACGAAAGUCUGAUAGUGCGACGCCGUGUGUGCGAUUAAUUCCUUCGGGAUGUAAAGCACUUUUCUAUGAGAUAAAAGCUCUUUAGGUUAAUAGCUUAUUGAGACGGAUAUUAUUAUAGGAAUAAGCUCCGGCUAACUCCGUGCCAGCAGCCGCGGUAAUACGGAAGGAGCGAGCGUUGUCCGGAUUUACUAGGCGUAAAGGGCUAGUAGGCGACUAAUUAAGUUAUAUGUUAAAUCCCACGGCUCAACUGUGGUCCUGCAUGUAAUACUGGUUAGAUAGAGUACUGUAGAGGAAGGCAGAAUUCCUGGAGUAGCGGUGGAAUGCGCAGAUAUCAGGAAGAAUACCGAAAAGCGAAGGCAGCCUUCUGGGCAGUUACUGACGCUGAAUAGCGAAGGUGUGGGUAGCGAACAGGA
rnacentral:rRNA from 1 species